AAAAAAGAAAAAAGAAAAAAAGAAAAGAAAAAACUAAUAGAUGAAAACAGAAAAAACAAACAAAAAACCGAAUAAUGACAAGAGAAGAAAGGUAAAGAGAAAAGAAGAAAAAAGCCAAGUGAAAAAGUAAAGAAUAACUCAAAGGAAGGAGUGGAUGGCAAGAAAUACAGAGAAAGCAAUGCAUAGCAGAGCAAAGGAAAGCAAGGCAAAAUAGCAGCCAAAGCCACGAGAAUCAAGAAGUCAGUGAAGAGCAGGAAAGGAAUGGAGGACUCUGGCCAGAGCUGUGCCCCUGCUUGCCACAGGAGCUGCGCGGGAGGAGAAGAAUGUGGGCCAAAAGCAGAGCAAAGGAAAGCAAGGCAAAAUAGCAGCCAAAGCCACGAGAAUCAAGAAGUCAGUGAAGAGCAGGAAAGGAAUGGAGGACUCUGGCCAGAGCUGUGCCCCUGCUUGCCACAGGAGCUGCGCGGGAGGAGAAGAAUGUGGGCCAAAAGCAGAGCAAAGGAAAGCAAGGCAAAAUAGCAGCCAGAGCCACGAGAAUCAAGAAGUCAGUGAAGAGCAGGAAAGGAAUGGAGGACUCUGGCCAGAGCUGUGCCCCUGCUUGCCACAGGAGCUGCGCGGGAGGAGAAGAAUGUGGGCCAAAAGAAAAAACAAACAAAAAACCGAAUAAUGACAAGAGAAGAAAGGUAAAGAGAAAAGAAGAAAAAAGCCAAGUGAAAAAGUAAAGAAUAACUCAAAGGAAGGAGUGGAUGGCAAGAAAUACAGAGAAGCAAUGCAUAGCAGAGCAAAGGAAAGCAAGGCAAAAUAGCAG
ensembl:lncRNA